AAUGUAUCUGCAGUUUUUCCCAUUUUUGGUAUUUUUAUAAGGACAACCCCUUCAGGGGUCCCAGUUCACCUUUGCAUCUACAAUACCUUUACCACCAAUAAUAUUGAUACAUUUUCAUAUUUCUAAUAUUCAGGCAAAUCAAAUGGGAAUAUUUCUAGUUGACCCAAGGAAAAGCUGCUUUUAAUGUGUAUUCAGCUAUCAAAUAAAAACCUUCAAACAAUGGAAUGACAGGUGUGCAGUCUGAGAACUGGAGAUUGAUGUCUAUAGACUGGACACUAUCUUAACACCAGGAGGCCUGCUUCUGAGUAGGGAGAAGCUUUCCAAUGUUUCGCCAAAGCCCUGGGAAUACAGAAGUCCAUAAGAGAGCAGUCUUCUGUCUGGCAGCAGUGGUAGUCGAAUAGUCCAAGCACGUGAUGGAGUGGCUACCCGAGACGAGAGAAGCCUAAUACAAAUAAAGAAGAACAAACAAGUCCAGAAUUUAACGGAUUACUCGGAAGCCCUUGGUUGGUGAGUUCGCACAUGUGUCUGGGGCAGCUGUCUUGUUGGCUGGAAAUUAGAAGAUCUGGGAUGGUCUCGACUUGGAUGGGAAAGUUCUCCACGUGCCUGUAUCAUAGAAUGUUCUUAUGGGGAUCAUAAGCAAGGCACUACAAAAUUUUUUCAAAGUCAUUUGCAUCUGAUUUGCUGCUUUUGCAUUGGUUAAUGCCACAGGAGGCUCGAUUGCCAUUGGUGGCAGAUUUAUCUUCUGGCCUUAUGCUACAGAAAAGAAACUCACAGUAAGUUGAUGUGAAACAAAAUGGAAUUUAUUAAGCAAGGUGGGCUUGACCCUGGAAGAAGAUAGAUUCCCAAGGCUUAGAGAGGGACAGAG
rnacentral:sRNA from 1 species